UAGUGAACUUCAUAUAUUCUGUAACAGUCUCGCCCUGAACACGUCCUCAUAACUUCAGCGUACGUGGUCCAAUCUCAAUGAAACUUCACGUGUGUUACAACAGUCCCGCCCUGAACUUGUCUACAUGACAAUAUUAAGACAUAGUGAUAGCGCCACCUUCUGGCAACAGGUGGUAAGCGCUGCAUGGCGAUUUUGUGCUGCGUUACGUGAAAUGACCGUGCCAGUGACGACUUGUCAAAUUCAGCGGAUUCGCCAUGAAAUGCCACUCAUAACUUCAGUGUGCAAUGUCCAAUCUCCAGUGAACUUCAUAUAUUCUGUAACAGUGCCGCCCUGAACACGUCCUCAUAACUUCAGCGUACGUGGUCCAAUCUCAAUGACACUUCACGUGUGUUACAACAGUCCCGCCCUGAACUUGUCUACAUGACAAUAUUAAGACAUAGUGAUAGCGCCACCUUCCGGCAACAGGUGGUAAGCGCUGCGUGGCGAUUUUGAGCUGAUUUACGUGACAUUUUCAUGUUGUGGUCCCCACGUGUUACGACGGCACGCGACGCGGCCGCAGCACGCCCCGAGUUGGGUGGAGUGCGAGGUCCCGCUCAACGCUGCUUGCAGCUUUAAUUC